GACGAACGCUGGCGGCGUGCCUAAUACAUGCAAGUAGAACGCACAGUUUAUACCGUAGCUUGCUACACCAUAAACUGUGAGUUGCGAACGGGUGAGUAACGCGUAGGUAACCUGCCUGGUAGCGGGGGAUAACUAUUGGAAACGAUAGCUAAUACCGCAUAAUAUUAAUUAUUGCAUGAUAAUUGAUUGAAAGAUGCAAUUGCAUCACUACCAGAUGGACCUGCGUUGUAUUAGCUAGUAGGUGAGGUAACGGCUCACCUAGGCGACGAUACAUAGCCGACCUGAGAGGGUGAGCGGCCACACUGAGACUGAGACACGGCCCAGACUCCUACGGGAGGCAGCAGUAGGGAAUCGUCGGCAAUGGACGAAAGUCUGACCGAGCAACGCCGCGUGAGUGAAGAAGGUUUUCGGAUCGUAGAGCUCUGUUGUAAGAGAAGAACGGGUGUGAGAGUGGAAAGUUCACACUGUGACGGUAUCUUACCAGAAAGGGACGGCUAACUACGUG
rnacentral:rRNA from 1 species